UAGGAAGCACUCAGGCAGUAUGCCCACA
rnacentral:misc_RNA from 1 species